GUGGGCCNCCCUCUUUGNGAAGAGGGCCUGCGUUUUCACAUAAAACUUGAUACAGUGUAGAAUGUCUUUUCAUUUUNAUUUUGCGGUUAUACGCAAUUAAUACAACUUUCAACAACGGAUCUCUUGGCUCUCGCAUCGAUGAAGAACGCAGCGAAAUGCGAUACGUAAUGUGAAUUGCAGAAUUCAGUGAAUCAUCNAAUCUUUGAACGCACCUUGCGCCCCUUGGCAUUCCGAGGGGCACACCCGUUUGAGUGUCGUGAAAAUCUCAAAACCCUUUUCUUUGACCCUUUUAUUUAUUUAUUUGGUUGGGAAGAGGAUUUUGGACUUGGAGGUUUAAUGCUNGCUUUGAAAAGUGAGCUCCUCUCAAAUGAAUUAGUGGGGUCUGCUUUGCUGGUCCUUGACGUGAUAAGAUGNUUNGACGUUUUGGAUUUGGCACUGUCGCUUGGAUGCCUGCUCCCAACUGUCCAUCUCAUGGACAACGAUGGUGCUCUGGUCUCCUCCAAUCCCACAUUGGCGGGAGGCUGGACCCACAAAAAAACUUGACCUCAAAUCGGGUGAGACUACCCGCUGAACUUAANCAUAUCAAUAAGCGGAGGAAAAGAAACUAACAAGGA
rnacentral:rRNA from 1 species